GUCAGGGGCGAUAGCGCGUUGGAUGCACUACUUCCCAAAAUAUCACCGAGGUUAAGCAACGUUGUGCGAGGUUAGUAUCCGGAUAGGUGACAACCAGGACAAUUUCGUGCUGCUGGAU
rfam:Asian citrus Psyllid, Diaphorina citri - Florida Strain, whole genome shotgun sequence.